UGGGUUGUAGCUCAGUGAUGAGAGAGCUUGCCUCACAUGUGAGGCACUGGGUUCGAUUCUCAGCACCCCAU
rnacentral:tRNA from 1 species